AAAUGAUGGUUGGUUGGUUGGUUGAUUUCUUUUCAAGUUUUAUUCUGGAAUAACAGCAAUUGUGCAGCAAUUGCUGCUUUUUCGCUGGGUACUUGAACACCAGCUCUGUGAUGUAGGAAGCAGAGAUGCUUGGGUAGCCUUCGUAUUCAUACACUACUGAUGCACUUUUUUGGUUUAAUAACUCACGUUCCUCCAACACAGCCAUUUCCUCAGCAGCAGCUAAAAAGCUAAUCUGGUGGCCAGACUGACCAAUGUAAGACAGAUUUCUGAGGCUCAGUAGCAGAAGUCAAAACUGUUUGUAAUUUAGGAGUGAGACUAAUGCAUUUCUUCAGUAUUGCCUGCAGGUCAGCCAUUACCUGCUAAUAAAUAGAAGAAAUUACCUGGUCAGAAGGACAAACUACCCUCAGCCAGACUUCCCUGCCAAAGCCUGCCUCCAGCACUGUUCCCGGCACUUGCAGGUCUGCAGGGUGACCUACCUUAGCCUGCCUGCAUGCCAGGGGAUGAUCUCCAUCUGUUGGACACAUGUCAUGUGAGCUGCUGACCUGCACUGCAGUAGCACCCUGCAGCACCCGCAAGAUGCUCCGCUGGCUGCUGUGUGAUACGGAGCAAGGAGCACCUGCAGCAGCCUGGAGGAAAAUGGGUCACUCUUUUCACAGAAAUUAAUGCUGAAGGCACCUGGACUCAAAGGAUGGAAGCUCUGCUCGCUUUUCUCAAGUUGGUUAUUCUGAUAUUUCUGGUGCAUCUUGAAUAUGUAGAAGCAGCAAAACUUGUCUCAAGGAAUAAAGGCAUCAGCACAGGAAGAGGACAGAUGGUGCAUGUUCCUGAAACUGAACCACGGCUCCAUGUUCCCAAAGAAAGUGAAUCCCACAAGGUAGAUGUGGUUUUAAAUGAACUGGGGACACUGACAGUUGAGAAAAGAAGGAAUGCCUCAGGUGAGUGAUUGUCCUGUGGGGUGUCAGACCUGGCCAUCCUUGGUCAAGUUGGCCAUGGGAAAUCUCUCCCCAGGAGGGAUGAGUUGCAGUGGUAUGAAGAGGAGCUGGUGGAGGAGCUCUCUCAGGCUUCCCGCAUUUGCACAAACUGCUUCAUGGUUAUGUUAUGUGCUGAUGCUGUCUUUCUGUUCAUUUCGUUUAAAGGUAGCUUUUAAAAGAAGAGCCUGGAGCAGUUUUGUGCUCACAGGAUGCUCUCUGCUCCUUGCAAUCCUGAGGCCUCAAAACCCACUUCACUUGCCUGGGGGUGCUGAGAUGCUGUACGACUGGCUUUCCUGGGCUGCACUCCAGCUGCGCAGUGUCUUGUGUUAAACUAAUUUAUUCUCUCCAAAGAGAUUACUGGCAUUUAAAUGGUUAUUAAUUAAGGAGAAUUUGUGUUUUUCUCACCUGAUUUUUUUUACAUGCUUGGAAAUAGCAUUUAUUCACGCAAGUUUCUGCUGAAAAACGACUUAUUAAUUCACCUCAGCCUGUGGCCAGCAGUCUUUUGAAGCAAAAGUGCAAGGACUGGUGUAGGUAAGUUACAUGUGUUGCACAGGGAAGAUGUUUUCCUGGCUCACACUGGUAGAGGAUGAUAUUCUCUGAACUGUGAGAGUUCCUAAACCUUCCAGAAGACUUCUGCUUGAUUUUCAAGCUUUAUUAUGGUUUACUGGAUGGUAGACUACCAUAGAAAUACUUCCUCCCAUAUGUACAAGGAAGCUGGACUCAAGUAUUGCUCACUUUGGAAAAAUGCCCCUGCAAGUUCCUGAAUUUCUUUGGCACGCAUAACAGAGUGGACAGAAGCAUCUCAAUCUUCACGUGUGGUGGUGUUGGGCCAGGUACAGCCUGCCUACAUGGAUCAUGUCUCCAGAGACACUGCUUACUGCUUUGGGUAAAGCAGUGGCAGUGGAGAAGAAGCAUUUACCUGAAUAUCUGCAAAAUGCAAGCAGAAGGAAAGCUGUGGUUCAAGGUGCUGAAGAAAUGCCAAAGGACAAGCUAAUGCUGCAUGUUGCUAGCCACCUGCUGCAGGAUACUUCACCCAUUUGGAGAACCGUGCAUAGAACACUACCACCUUCAGUCAGCAGGAUGUGUCUGAUACGAGAGCUGCUACCUGCCACCUGAUGUGUCUCACCCUGGGAGACAGGACGAUGAAGUAAUGGAGCCUGGCUGUCUGCAGCCAGGGCUGCUGUACUACAUCCAAAGCAAGCUUGAAGUCAGCAAGUGCUGCAUUAAUCUUUCUGGGAGUGUUUGUUUUGCUUGUUUUGUUAGGCUACAUUUCAAGCAACUGAUAAUGUGUUCGUGAGCAGUUCUCCUGUUGCAGCCCAUUUUUCAAAGGAAGUGUGAAGACCGAUGCUCCAAAGGUUUGGUGGAACAUGAGUGUGAAGGGUUAUGUAUGAUCAUGCUUGAAAUGUGUGAGCUGACAGUGCUUUCAAGUGCAUGUUAAUAUGUCUGUGCAGGUACUUUUGGGAUAGAGAGGUUAUGGCUUUGUGUGAAGUCUGAUCAGUGUUUUAAAAAAUACACCUUUGUCAUGGUUCUUCUUUAUGGAUGCUAAUUGUGCUAGUGCAGCUACCUCACUGCAAUUGAGUUGUGUAUUUAUUUACUUACUGAUAGUCAAGUCUUCUAACUAAUCAAGGCUAAACUCUGAAGCUUUCUGAGGAUUAAACAAUAAAUGCUUUAUUGCUU
ensembl:lncRNA